UGCUACUCCAUCUUUCCUUGCUCUCUGAUAAUCAGCCAUUCUUGACGUGAAAAUGCAAGUUGGCCCUAUAGAACAUAAACACGUCGUAGGUAUCAGAGAUGGGAUCUGGAAGCUGCCAGCACAUACGCCCAGAUCGAGCAAGAAUGACAACACCCCAGCUAUCUCCAUCACCAACUCCUUCAAGAAUGUGACGAAUAACUAAUCAAUCAUCAAUAAAAUUGGAAAAUAAAACUGAAACUUCUUACCCACCAAUAUUGAUCUGAUUUCUCAUAAUACAAGAGUUCACGUAAACUGCAGAAAUUUCUAGGGGUAGCUCGACAUGACUUUUCUAGCUAGCAAUGCACUCAGCUUCAAGUGAAAAUUCAGCUCACAAUUUGGACAAGUAGUGAUCUAAAGCGUCUUAUAUUUGCUUACAGAGGGAGUACAUAAUAUGAAAACUAUUAUAAACGUACUAUAUAAUACACAGAGUAUGUGAGGUCAACUCAACACUUAAAAUAAUCAAACUGUACUUUAUUAAGUCUCUCUAAUUUUCCCCACCGGUGACAUGGAAGCGAUGCAUCAAAUGAGUGUCAGUGGUACCCCCCCCCCCCCAGCAUCGGCGGUUGCUAGAGAGGAUAGCAGGCGAAUCCCACGAUGACGAGCGAGCAUGAACAUUCGGCGUGCUUGUAUGGAGCUCAAAAUAUUGGUGAUAUGGAUGAUUAAGAAAGUGCGACAUUUGCCAGCAAGCUCACAAUAUGUAAAUAUUGGUACAUUUUUUUCCCUAUGGUCCUAGAAGCCAGCAAUUUGGUAUGCAUAAAACAAACAUGAACCGAAACUUGAGCAUAUAAGGGUGCCUAAUGUUUGAAAUAAUAGCUGCAAAGAGCUGGGUUUUACUAACUUGGCAUACAAAUUAAUUGCACAAGACUUGCUUUGUAUGGACAGAAAGUUAGAAAGACAUCUUUUAGAAAGAUGCUACCCAUAUAUGAGAAACAACAAUGUGCUUUGAUUUUUAACUCGUUUUGCCAAGCAGCACUACUAAUUUAGUAACAUGCUAGUGUAGGCAAACAACCUCAUGUCAUAAUAAUUGAUGCGGCAUCAUGAGCUUUUACUGAAAUAUUUGGAGCAGAUUGCUACAUGUAAGAGAUUCAUGGGAAAAGAUUCGGACCAAUGUGUUGAAACAACACUUGUUAGUUGCAAUACAUGAUUCACAGCUUUUAUCCUAUCAUGCUAACUACACAUGGAAUUUAAUCACACAACAACAUUCAUUCCUUACAAAACUUGAUAUGUUUUAUUAAGACUCGUACAAAUAUACUUUUAGACAUGAGGAUCAGAAACUAACCUGGAAAGCACAAUUGUUAGGUGACGCCUCAACAUCCAUAUCAUAGUUUCGCUACUUCCCAUAAGAUUCCUAGUGAAGCAAGAAAAAUAUGCUUUUCAGAUUUGCUAGUUGCAGCCUCAAAUCCUACCUACCAAUUUGUUCAUAAUAAACAGAAUUCAUGUCAAGAAAAGAAAAGGUUACCCCAAACAAAUGUGCACCCGACUUAAUCUCUCUCAACAGAACUGCAGUGCACAUGUUUCUCUCUAGCAAAUAUCUUCCUUGCUGCAUUUCUUUCAGUCUGGAUGGAUCUCCUCGCUUCCAAAGGCACGAACAAGAUUACUGCAUGCAAAAGUACUGCGAAAACAAGAUUGAUACAAGUUAAUACAAGAUUCUACUUUGCUUCAUUGCGAUCCCUACAAAAACACUGUGGGCUGCCCCUUUUUGGUGAGUGGA
rnacentral:lncRNA from 1 species